UGAGUGGGAAACAGAACUUAAGC
rnacentral:piRNA from 1 species